ACUUUUGGGGACCCCAUGACAAAUUUUGGGGUCCCUGUGGCCGAUUUUGGGGUUUCUGUGGUUCUUGGGGGUCUCCAUGACCAAUUCCGGUGUCUCCAUGGUCACUUUUGGGGUCUCCAGGGUCAAUUUGGGGUCUCCAUGACCCAAUUUUGGGGUCUCCAUGACCAAUUCCGGCGUCUCCAUGGUCACUUUUGGGGUCUCCAGGGUCACUUUUGGGGUCUCCAUGACCAAUUUUGGGGUCUCCAUGGUCACUUUUGGGGUCUCCAUGACCCAAUUUUGGGAUCUCCGGGGUGACUUUUGGGGUCUCCAGGGUCAUUCUUGGGGUCUUCAGGGUCAAUUUUGGGGUCCUUGUGGUUCUUGGCGUCUCCAGUGUCAACUUUAGGAUCUCUGGGGUCAAUUUUGGGGUCUCCAUCACCCAAUUUUGGGCUCCCCACGAUCAUUUUUGGGGUCCCCGUGAUCAGUUUUGGGUCUCCAGGGUCAAUUUUGGGGUCUCCAUGACAAAUUUUGGGGUCCCUGGGGUGACUUUUGGGGUCUCCAUGACAAAUUUUGGGGUCCCUGGGGUGACUUUUGGGGUCUCCAUGACAAAUUUUGGGGUCUCCAGGGUCAAUUUUGGGGUCCCCAUGAUCAUUUCACCCCAUUUUUAUUCCAUUUUAACCCUUUUUUCCCACUUUAACCCUUUUUUAACCAGUUUUCCCCCAUUUUUAACCCGUUUUCCCCCAUUUUUUCACCCAAACUUCCCAUUUUUAACCCAUUUUUAACCCCUUUUUUGCCUGUUUUUUCCCAUUUUUUCACCCAAACUCCCCAUUUCCUCACCCAAAAUCCCCGUUUUUUCACUUAACUUCCCCAUUUUUUCACCCAAAUUUCCCACUUUUAACCCAUUUUUAACUCAUUUUAACCCAUUUUUAACCCCUUUUUAACCCUUUUUUACCUGUUUUUUUACCAUUUUUUCACCCAAUUUCCCCAUUUCCUCACCCAAAAUCCCCAUUUUUUCACUUAAAUUCCCCACUUUUAACCCCUUUUUAACCCGUUUUUAACCCUUUUUUGCCUGUUUUUUCCCAUUUUCUCACCCAAAAUCCCCAUUUUUUUACCCAAAUUUCCCACUUUUAACCCACUUUUAACCCACUUUUACCCCAUUUUUAACCCCUUUUUAACCCGUUUUUAACCCUUUUUUGCCUGUUUUUCCCAUUUUUUCACCCAAAAUCCCCAUUUUUUCACCCAAAUUCCCCACUUCCUCACUCAAAAUCCCCGUUUUUUCACUUAAAUUCCUCAUUUUUUUAC
rnacentral:lncRNA from 12 species